GUUUGAUCCUGGCUCAGGAUGAACGCUGGCGGCGUGCUUAACACAUGCAAGUCGAACGGAAAGGCCCUGCUUGCAGGGUACUCGAGUGGCGAACGGGUGAGUAACACGUGGGUGAUCUGCCUUGUACUCUGGGAUAAGCUUGGGAAACUGGGUCUAAUACCGGAUAGGAACUGCCUUUAGUGUGGUGGUUGGAAAGUUUUUUCGGUGCAAGAUGAGCUCGCGGCCUAUCAGCUUGUUGGUGGGGUAAUGGCCUACCAAGGCGUCGACGGGUAGCCGGCCUGAGAGGGUGUACGGCCACAUUGGGACUGAGAUACGG
rnacentral:rRNA from 1 species